UUCACAUAUGGCCUUUAUUAUG
rnacentral:piRNA from 1 species